rnacentral:ribozyme from 1 species
UGACAUCAUUGGGGUUGCCUUCUCGUGGCGGUGUCGUUUAAAACUAAAACCCU